rnacentral:tRNA from 1 species
GGAUGGUUGGCAGAGCGGCCGAUUGCACUCGCCUUGAAAGCGAGCGUGGGGAGACCCACCGGGGGUUCAAAUCCCUCACCAUCCG